CCUACGGGGUGCAGCAGUCGAGAAUCUUCCACAAUGGACGAAAGUCUGAUGGAGCGACGCCGCGUGAGUGAUGAAGGCCCUACGGGUUGUAAAACUCUGUCAGGAGAGAAGAACCGCCGGGAUGCCAAUACCAUCCCGGUCUGACGUUAUCUCCAGAGGAAGCUCCGGCUAACUCCGUGCCAGCAGCCGCGGUAAUACGGGGGGAGCAAGCGUUGUCCGGAAUUAUUGGGCGUAAAGGGCGUGUAGGCGGUUAGGUCAGUCGAAUGUGAAAUCCCACGGCUCAACCGUGGAACUGCGUUCGAUACUGCCUGACUUGAGUAUGUGAGAGGUGUGUGGAAUUCCUGGUGUAGCGGUGGAAUGCGUAGAUAUCAGGAAGAACACCGAUGGCGAAGGCAGCACACUGGCGCAAUACUGACGCUGAGACGCGAAAGCGUGGGGAG
rnacentral:rRNA from 1 species